UACGUAGGGGGCAAGCGUUGUCCGGAUUUAUUGGGCGUAAAGAGCGUGUAGGCGGCCAUACAGGUCAGCUGUGAAAACUCGAGGCUCAACCUCGAGACGUCGGUUGAAACCGUAUGGCUAGAGUCCGGAAGAGGAGAGUGGAAUUCCCGGUGUAGCGGUGAAAUGCGCAGAUAUCGGGAAGAACACCCGUGGCGAAAGCGGCUUCCUGGUCCAGCACCGACGUUCAGGCACGAAAGCGUGGGGAGCAAACAGG
rnacentral:rRNA from 1 species